rnacentral:tRNA from 1 species
AUCUUAAUAGCUUAUUUAGAGCAUGAUAUCGAAGUUCUCAAGGAGAUUUUAUCCUAGGAUA